rnacentral:rRNA from 1 species
AUACAGAGGGUGCGAGCGUUAAUCGGAAUUACAGGGCGUAAAGCGCGCGUAGGCGGUCUAUUAAGUCAGAUGUGAAAUCCCAGGGCUCAACCUUGGAACUGCAUCUGAUACUGGUAGACUAGAGUUUUGGAGAGGGAAGUAGAAUUCCAGGUGUAGCGGUGAAAUGCAUAGAGAUCUGAAGGAAUACCAGUGGCGAAGGCGACUUCCUGGCCAAAAACUGACGCUGAGGUGCGAAGGCGUGGGUAGCAAACGGGAUUAGAAACCCCAGUAGUCC